rnacentral:rRNA from 1 species
UACGGAGGGUGCAAGCGUUAUCCGGAUUUACUGGGCGUAAAGCGCGCGCAGGCGGGCUGGUCAGUCCGGGGUGAAAUCUCACGGCUCAACCGUGAGCGGUCCCCGGAUACUGCCAGUCUUGAGGUGUCUAGAGGAGAGCGGAAUUCCCGGUGUAGUGGUGGAAUGCGUAGAUAUCGGGAAGAACACCAGUGGCGAAAGCGGCUCUCUGGGGACCACCUGACGCUGAGGCGCGAAAGCUAGGGGAGCAAACGGG